rnacentral:rRNA from 1 species
GAUGAACGCUGGCGGCGUGCCUAAUACAUGCAAGUCGAGCGAACUGAUUAGAAGCUUGCUUCUAUGACGUUAGCGGCGGACGGGUGAGUAACACGUGGGCAACCUGCCUGUAAGACUGGGAUAACUUCGGGAGACCGAAGCUAAUACCGGAUAGGAUCUUCUCCUUCAUGGGAGCUGAUUGAAAGAUGGUUUCGGCUAUCACUUACAGAUGGGCCCGCGGUGCAUUAGCUAGUUGGUGAGGUAACGGCUCACCAAGGUAACGAUGCAUAGCCGACCUGAGAGGGUGAUCGGCCACACUGGGACUGAGACACGGCCCAGACUCCUACGGGAGGCAGCAGUAGGGAAUCUUCCGCAAUGGACGAAAGUCUGACGGAGCAACGCCGCGUGAGUGAUGAAGGCUUUCGGGUCGUAAAACUCUGUUGUUAGGGAAGAACAAGUACAAGAGUAACUGCUUGUACCUUGACGGUACCUAACCAGAAAGCCACGGCUAACUACGUGCCAGCCGCCGCGGUAA